GGAGCUGUAGCUCAGUGGUAGAGCACCCGCCUUACAUGUGUGAGGCACAGGGUUUGAUCCUCAGCACCUCCU
rnacentral:tRNA from 1 species